rnacentral:rRNA from 1 species
CUUAACACAUGCAAGUCGAGGGGCAGCAUGGUCUUAGCUUGCUAAGGCCGAUGGCGACCGGCGCACGGGUGAGUAACACGUAUCCAACCUGCCGUCUACUCUUGGACAGCCUUCUGAAAGGAAGAUUAAUACAAGAUGGCAUCAUGAGUCCGCAUGUUCACAUGAUUAAAGGUAUUCCGGUAGACGAUGGGGAUGCGUUCCAUUAGAUAGUAGGCGGGGUAACGGCCCACCUAGUCUUCGAUGGAUAGGGGUUCUGAGGGGAAGGUCCCCCACAUUGGAACUGAGACACGGUCCAAACUCCUACGGGAGGCAGCAGUGAGGAAUAUUGGUCAAUGGGCGAGAGCUUGAACCAGCCAAGUAGCGUGAAGGAUGACUGCCCUAUGGGUUGUAAACUUCUUUUAUAAAGGAAUAAAGUCGGGUAUGGAUACCCGUUUGCAUGUACUUUAUGAAUAAGGAUCGGCUAACUCCGUGCCAGCAGCCGCGGUAAUACGGAGGAUCCGAGCGUUAUCCGGAUUUAUUGGGUUUAAAGGGAGCGUAGAUGGAUGUUUAAGUCAGUUGUGAAAGUUUGCGGCUCAACCGUAAAAUUGCAGUUGAUACUGGAUAUCUUGAGUGCAGUUGAGGCAGGCGGAAUUCGUGGUGUAGCGGUGAAAUGCUUAGAUAUCACGAAGAACUCCGAUUGCGAAGGCAGCCUGCUAAGCUGCAACUGACAUUGAGGCUCGAAAGUGUGGGUAUCAAACAGGAUUAGAUACCCUGGUAGUCCACACGGUAAACGAUGAAUACUCGCUGUUUGCGAUAUACUGCAAGCGGCCAAGCGAAAGCGUUAAGUAUUCCACCUGGGGAGUACGCCGGCAACGGUGAAACUCAAAGGAAUUGACGGGGGCCCGCACAAGCGGAGGAACAUGUGGUUUAAUUCGAUGAUACGCGAGGAACCUUACCCGGGCUUAAAUUGCAGAUGAAUUACGGUGAAAGCCGUAAGCCGCAAGGCAUCUGUGAAGGUGCUGCAUGGUUGUCGUCAGCUCGUGCCGUGAGGUGUCGGCUUAAGUGCCAUAACGAGCGCAACCCUUGUUGUCAGUUACUAACAGGUUCCGCUGAGGACUCUGACAAGACUGCCAUCGUAAGAUGUGAGGAAGGUGGGGAUGACGUCAAAUCAGCACGGCCCUUACGUCCGGGGCUACACACGUGUUACAAUGGGGGGUACAGAGGGCCGCUACCACGCGAGUGGAUGCCAAUCCCCAAAACCUCUCUCAGUUCGGACUGGAGUCUGCAACCCGACUCCACGAAGCUGGAUUCGCUAGUAAUCGCGCAUCAGCCACGGCGCGGUGAAUACGUUCCCGGGCCUUGUACACACCGCCCGUCAAGCCAUGGGAGCCGGGGGUACCUGAAGUGCGUAACCGCGAGGAGCGCCCUAGGGUAAAACUGGUGACUGGGGCUAAGUCAAAA